GUAACACGUAGUCAACCUGCCCUCGGGUCGAGAAUAAUCUCGGGAAACUGAGGCUAAUGAGCGAUAGGUCAAGAUUCCUGGAAUGGGUUUUGGUCUAAACGGCGUGACAGCAUCUUGUCGUGUCCGCCCGAGGAUGGGACUGCGGCCGAUCAGGCUGUUGGUGGGGUAAAGGCCCACCAAACCAGUAACCGGUACGGGCUUUGAGAGAAGGAGCCCGGAGAUGGACACUGAGACAAGGGUCCAGGUCCUACGGGGCGCAGCAGGCGCGAAACCUUCGCAAUGCGCGCAAGCGCGACGAGGUUAUUCCGAGUGAUUUCCGCUGAGGAAAUCUUUUCUUGGAUCUAAAAAGUCUGGGGAAUAAGGGGAGGGCAAGUCUGGUGUCAGCCGCCGCGGUAAUACCAGCUCCUCGAGUGGUCAGGGCGUUUAUUGAGCCUAAAGCAUCCGUAGCCUGCUCGGUAGGUCUCCUGUUAAAUCCAACGGCUCAACCGUUUGGUCUGCANGAGAUACCGCUUGGGCU
rnacentral:rRNA from 1 species